UACGUAGGGGGCAAGCGUUGUCCGGAUUUACUGGGCGUAAAGCGCACGUAGGCGGUUUGUUAAGUCGGAUGUGAAAUCCCUCGGCUCAACUGAGGAAGUGCAUCCGAAACUGGCAGGCUUGAGUACUAAAGAGGGUCGCGGAAUUCCCGGUGUAGAGGUGAAAUUCGUAGAUAUCGGGGAGGAACACCGGUGGCGAAGGCGGCGACCUGGGUAGAUACUGACGCUGAGGUGCGAAAGCGUGGGGAGCAAACAGG
rnacentral:rRNA from 1 species